CACGUAGUUAGCCGGGGCUUCUUAAUCAGGUACCGUUAUUUUCUUCCCUGCUGAUAGAGCUUUACGUACCGAGAUACUUCUUCACUCACGCGGCGUCGCUGCAUCAGGGUUUCCCCCAUUGUGCAAUAUUCCCCACUGCUGCCUCCCGUAGGAGUUUGGGCCGUGUCUCAGUCCCAAUGUGGCCGUUCACCCUCUCAGGCCGGCUACUGAUCGUCGCUUUGGUGGGCCGUUACCCCGCCAACUGGCUAAUCAGACGCGGAUCCAUCGUAUACCACCGAAGUUUUUCACACUGUUCCAUGCGGAACCGUGCGCUUAUGCGGUAUUAGCACCUAUUUCUAAGUGUUAUCCCCCUGUAUACGGCAGGUUAUCCACGCGUUACUCACCCGUCCGCCACUAAUCCAUACAUCACUAGGUUUCAAUAUGGAUCCGUUCGACUUGCAUGUGUUAGGCACGCCGCCAGCGUUCAUCCUGAGCCAGGAUCAAACUCU
rnacentral:rRNA from 1 species